rnacentral:piRNA from 1 species
UAAUCAACCAACUAAUGCAAA